CCUACGGGUGGCUGCAGUGGGGAAUAUUGGACAAUGGGGGGAACCCUGAUCCAGCCAUGCCGCGUGUGUGAAGAAGGCCCUCGGGUUGUAAAGCACUUUCAGUGAGGAAGAACGCCUGGUGGUUAAUACCCAUCAGGAAAGACAUCACUCACAGAAGAAGCACCGGCUAACUCCGUGCCAGCAGCCGCGGUAAUACGGAGGGUGCGAGCGUUAAUCGGAAUUACUGGGCGUAAAGCGCGCGUAGGUGGCUUGAUAAGCCGGUUGUGAAAGCCCCGGGCUCAACCUGGGAACGGCAUCCGGAACUGUCAAGCUAGAGUGCAGGAGAGGAAGGUAGAAUUCCCGGUGUAGCGAUGAAAUGCGUAGAGAUCGGGAGGAAUACCAGUGGCGAAGGCGGCCUUCUGGACUGACACUGACACUGAGGUGCGAAAGCGUGGGUAGCAAACAGGAUUAGAUACCCGAGUAGUC
rnacentral:rRNA from 1 species